rnacentral:rRNA from 1 species
GCCUAAAGAGAAGCUUGCGGCUGAUCAGCUUGUUGGUGAGGUAAUAGCUCACCAAGGCGACGAUCAGUAUCUGGUUUGAGAGGACGAUCAGACACACUGGAACUGAGACACGGUCCAGACUCCUACGGGAGGCAGCAGUAGGGAAUUUUCCGCAAUGGGCGAAAGCCUGACGGAGCAAUACCGCGUGAGGGAUGACGGCCUAUGGGUUGUAAACCUCUUUUUUCAGGGAGGAAUAAAUGACGUGUACCUGAAGAAUAAGCAUCGGCUAACUCCGUGCCAGCAGCCGCGGUAAGACGGAGGAUGCAAGUGUUAUCCGGAAUCACUGGGCGUAAAGCGUCUGUAGGUGGUCCAAUAAGUCAACUGUUAAAUCUUGAGGUUCAACCUCAAAACCGCAGUCGAAACUAUUAGACUAGAGUAUAGUAGGGGUAAAGGGAAUUUCCAGUGGAGCGGUGAAAUGCGUAGAUAUUG